rnacentral:tRNA from 1 species
GGAGGGUGUAGCUCAGUGGUAGAGCGCAUGCUUAGCAUGUAUGAGGUCCUGGGUUCAAUCCCCAGUGCCUCCA